UUUAGAUACUGUUGUUGGGAUAUCAAUUUUCCUGCCACUUGAUGUUAAACAGAUUGGUACUGAUCUACACAUGGAUGUGUGGGUAUGUGUACAGGUGCCCACUGAGGCCAGAAGAAGGAAUCAGAUUCCGUGGAGUUGGAGUUGAAGGUGGUUGUGUACUUCCCAACGUGGAUGCUACUGAAAGUGGGUCUUGUGUAAGACCAAUAUGUGCUGUGAGCCAGUGAGCAAUCUCUCCAACCCCUGAGUCAUCUUUCCAACCACAUAAUUGUAUCAUUUAAUCAGUCAACAUCUAUCAGAGACCCCUGGCACUAACAGACAAUUUUCUCAUUGCCACAAAGGAGUCAAAAGGUGCACAGGACUGAGGCCUAACUACAAGGUGAGACUCCAUUUCAGGUCAAUUUUCUACAGAGCCAAGGUCUUUCAUAUUGAUUCCAUUAAAGGUUUGCAGCAAUGGUGAAUGUGUACAAAAGGAAAAAGCCUACAAUUCAACCAGCUGCCCCUCCCAGUGUGAUGAAAAUGCUGAUCCCAAACACGUAUUAAGAAUACCUGUUGUAACAGGAUUCUCUCCCAUUUUCUCAAGCUAUCUAUAUUGGCAGUGGCUACAGGAUUCAAAACUCACUUUAGAUGUGCUGAAAUUGGAGAGCUACUUUCUCAGCAUUCCCAUAGAGAAACUCUUUCCGGCAAUGAAGUUCACAGAAAAAACACAAGGUGGCGACAUAGCUAGCGAAAUUUCACGUGAAUGUGUCUCCCCUGAUAUCCCCAGACUUUCAAAACGAUGACUUCAAAUAAACUUCCUAAGAAAUUUGCUAACUUCA